CUUUUCUCUGAGUCUCCAGCUACCAGCCGACCCUGCAGAUUCGGAACUUACAACAUCCACAAUUACAUGAGCCUAUUCCUUAAAACAAAUCUCAGCCCCUCCGUCCCUCCCUCCUUCCCUCCCUCUCUCUCAGCUAACCAUGCCCUGCAGGAGGAACAGCUGCAGGAAUCAGGACCAGAGCCGUGAGAACACUGAAAUCACCAGCUGGGAAGUGGCAGGAUUGGGAUUCCAGCCCAAAGAGCCUGGCUCUCUCUGCAGCCACACUGAAUCCUGACUCCAUGCCUAGCUGAGAUGCCACUUUUCUGCUUUCUUGAAGAUAGAGAUAAUCAUGUUUCAAAAAUCUUGCCCAAGAUACAUGACAGGCAUUGAGUACUAUUCCUAGGAAAGUGCCUUUGGAGGGAGGCACGGACCUGGAUGCCCUCCCCCGCUUCCCUCUCUGUGUCACCAAGGAUGUAGACGUGAUGGCUGGAGCAGUAGCAGCUAUCUCAAGGCCAGGAGGGGACUCUGAGGAUGGAUGGCAUUCAGUAAGGAUAGUGAAGAGGACAGAGGGAACCAGGGACAUUAAGAACAUCACGGAGUUCCAGCACAGCCACGAACCUCCUAUCCAGCCACCUUGGAGGACAGGCUAUAUUACUCUGUUACUGCAAACACAGUACCUAACUGAUACAAAAUACUUUUAGGAGGAGGUAAUGCUGGAACUUCAUCUUACAGGAAGUAGGUCUGGGGCAGGCUGACCUCAGGUAAUACCAGUACCUUUCCUGCCACAAAACAGUUUUGGGGCCAAUGCCCCUGGACAUGCUCCCGAGGUCCUCUGAGAGGGAAGCAGGGCAGGGGUUCCCACCCCUUCGUGGCCCUGAGGAACCCAGGACUCCUGCCUCCACCCAGCUCUCCCACCACUCAGCUGCUCCAGGCCCAGCCUCACCCCUGUGCCACCUGUCCCUGUCCUACGGAGGCCAAUGUGCAGCCUCGAGCCUGCGCCCGCUCGGAGCCCUGGAGGAGUCAGGCCCUGCUUCCCAGCAAGUGUGUUUCCACUGCCUUGUUUACA